UACGGGGGGGGCAAGCGUUGUUCGGAAUUACUGGGCGUAAAGGGUUCGUAGGUGGCCAACUCAGCCAGACGUGAAAUCCCCAGGCUUAACCUGGGAACUGCAUCCGAUACUGGAUGGCUUGAAUCCGGGAGAGGGAUGCAGAAUUCCAGGUGUAGCGGUGAAAUGCGUAGAUAUCUGGAGGAAUACCGGUGGCGAAGGCGGCAUCCUGGACCGGCAUUGACGCUGAUGAGCGAAAGCUAGGGGAGCAAACGGGG
rnacentral:rRNA from 1 species